rnacentral:rRNA from 1 species
UGGGGAAUAUUGCGCAAUGGGCGAAAGCCUGACGCAGCGACGCCGCGUGGGGGAUGAAGGCCCUAGGGUUGUAAACCCCUGUCAGGUGGGACGAAACCCGGGUCGACGAAUAGCCGGCCCGAUUGACGGUACCACCAGAGGAAGCUCCGGCUAACUCCGUGCCAGCAGCCGCGGUAAUACGGAGGGAGCGAGCGUUGUCCGGAAUCACUGGGCGUAAAGGGCGCGUAGGCGGCCGGGUAAGUCGCGUGUGAAAGGCCGGGGCUCAACCCCGUGUAUGGCAUGCGAUACUGUCCGGCUGGAGAAGGGUAGAGGCGAGCGGAAUUCCCGGUGUAGCGGUGGAAUGCGUAGAUAUCGGGAGGAACACUCGUGGCGAAGGCGGCUCGCUGGGCCCGUUCUGACGCUGAAGCGCGAAAGCGUGGGGAGCAAACAGGAUUAGAUACCCCCGUAGUCC